rnacentral:misc_RNA from 1 species
GAUGAAGAACGCAGCGAAAUGCGAUAAGUAAUGUGAAUUGCAGAAUUCAGUGAAUCAUCGAAUCUUUGAACGCACAUUGCGCCCCUUGGUAUUCCGAGGGGCAUGCCUGUUCGAGCGUCAUUAUAACCCCUCAAGCUCAGCUUGGUGUUGGGGCCUGCUGCACUGGCAGCCCUUAAAAUCAGUGGCGGCGCCAUCUGGCUCUAAGCGUAGUAAUUCUUCUCGCUAUGGAGUCCUGGUGGAUGCUUGCCAUCAACCCCCAAUUUCUCUAUGGUUGACCUCGGAUCAGGUAGGGAUACCCGCUGAACUUAAGCAUAUCAAUAAGCGGAGGA